AGAAGGAGAGAGGCACUAUUUAAAUUUUUAAAAGACACAAGGUUGUGGAAUAGAAUUUAACUAAUUAUUAAAUGACAUGCUGAUACACACUCCAGUACAGUAGGUGGCGGUAGGCACCUAAAAGUUGUUUGCAAUCCGUAAUUAAAGAAGAAGAAGAAGUGGUUCACGCUCUUACUGUCUAUGUUCACGCUUCAGCGUGUAGUCGAAUGUGUUAGUGCCUUUCUUUUACUGUCUAUGGUUAGUGCAUGUGGGAGUUAGAUUUGUGUAAUAAGAAAUAAACGAUAAAUUUGCUCUAAAACCUUGCGGGUCGGUUUCAGUGGAAGAAAGAUGUCGGUGUUUAUGGAUUUAAACAUCAUCAGCAGUAAUGACAAGAACAGACUCAAAAGCAUCAUAGAGACAGCAGCUCAUCUUGGCUACUCAACAGUCGCAAUAAACUAUGUGGUUGAACCACAACAGAAGAAAACGGAAAUUCCUAAACCACAGAGUGUGUCCGACAUAUUUGAUAAAUUCCCAAUAAUACAGGUAUUUU